rnacentral:lncRNA from 1 species
GAGAAUUGAAAAUGCAGAACAGCGCUUCAAUCGAAAAUGGAUAAAACUGAAAACCCACAAUCUCCCUCACUCUGAAGAAGAAGAAGAAGAAGAUGGCGAAGCGGUUAUCCCACGAGAGGAGGCGUGUGUUUGUGUGCACAAUUUGAUUGGGAGUUUUUGUAACUACUAUAAUAAAACCCUUUGAGGCCAGUUGAGUGAAUUUCAACCGUUUGAUUUGGAGCAAGGUG